AAGUUGUGAUGCAUUUGAAAAACAGCUCAUUGAAAUGUUCCCAUGCUUCAAAGAAAAGAUCUUCUUCUUUCUAUUGAAAGCUUUGAAUCUCCUUUCUAAGUUG